UUCACAAAACACACCACCAGUCAGCUCAUGAUAACCGCAAGCCAAGCACUCUUGUCGACACAUUUGACUCAAUAUCGACAACGCGGCUUCCGAAAUAUCACCUUAAGUGGAUUAAUAAGAACCCCUGAGCCAACAUAGAGGGAGGCCACAGGCCGCCACACACGCGUCAGCUAGGCCGGGCUAAGCGGCUAACUGCUAACGUGGCUAACAAGAAUGUCAACAAAGAAGAUGGAGGAAGGAUACACAUUACGGCUAACAAGCUAAAACACGUGCUGCUGCUGCCCACCCCCCCCAAAAAAAAAAACGAAACCACAUUGCCAAGGUUGUUGCCUUAUGACGGCUAGCCAGCUUGGCUAACUAGUUGACGAAGCACUACUUACAUCGGCGGCAGCUGCAGCGGAGCGGCACCCCGGCGGAGGAACACCCCGUCCACAAACACCCCGUUCUUGCCCAGGCAGCGCAGGUAGAAGUCUCCGCUGCCGCCGGAGCCGUCGUCGCUGGCCGUGAAGAUCUCCAGGUGCCGCCGUGAGAUGAAGCUCGAGUGGCCCAUGCUAACGUCCACGGAGCCCUGCGACGAGUUCCGGCCGAUGCUCACCGAGCGCUUCUUCAUCAGGUACUCGAACUCACGGCCCUCGAGUCGAGCUACCGGCCCCGACGAGCCGCUCACCACAGCAGCCAUGGUCAACACGAGAUGUUUCAGGGGUGGGGGGUAAAUGAACUAGACACGAGUGGGGGGUACGACGUGGAAGCCAAAAGCGAAACGAGCUACAAACGGGGCAUUGAAUUUAUAAGCGGAAUUUGGAGGGGAACAUGCGAGGAGGAGGCCAGGGACAGCGGCUCCGACCCACCGCCGAGAGAAAGGCUUGCGUCGGGCUUCGCUGCCGAACCGAGGGAGGGGGCGUGGAUAUGGAUGAAUUGACGGCGCCGUCCGCCAAUCGUAUUUGAGGACAGGGAUGCAGCGUCGCACUCGACAAAUCAGAAGAGAGUCGUAAUCCGUGGAUACGUUCAUGCUCGGUUGGGGGGAACAGUGGAACACUGCGCAUAUGGGAGGACGUGAAGCAGCACAGGAGGAAUGGCGACACACUAAAAUAGUUUAAAAACACUAAAACACAAAAAAAGAAAUCGGGGGAGAAGAGCCUUGGUGAGAGAGGUAAAGAAGAACUGAGAGACCACUGUGGCUGAGCUCCAGAGAUGCAGUCAAGAGAUGGGAGAAAGUUCUAGAAAGUCAACCAUCACUGCAGCCCUCCACCAGUCGGGGCUUUAUGGCAGAGUGUCCCGACGGAAGCCUCUCCUCAGUGCAAGAUGCAUGAAAGCCCGCAUGGAGUUUGCUAAAAAACACCUGAAGGACUCCAAGAUGGUCUCUGGUCUGAUGAGAUCAAGAUAGAACUUUUUGGCCUCAAUUCUAAGUGGCAUGUGUGGAGAAAACCAGGCACUGCUCAUCACCUGUCCAAUACAGUCCCAACAGUGAAGCGUGGUGGUGGCAGCAUCAUGCUGUGGGGGUGGUUUUCAGCUGCAGGGACAGGAUUACUCGUGGAAAGAUGAAGGAAAGAUGAAUGGGGGCCAAGUAGAGGGCUAUCCUGGACAAAAACCUUCUCCAGAGUGCUCAGGACUUCAGACUGGGCCGAAGGUUCACCUUCCAACAAGACAAUGACCCUAAGCACAUAGUGAAAAUUCCGAAGGAGUGGCUUCAGAACAACUCCGUGACUGUUGUUGAAUGGCCCAGCCAGAGCCCUGACAUAAACCCAAUUGAUUAUCUCUGGAGAGACCUGAAAAUGGCUGUCCACCAACGUUCACCAUCCAACCUGACAGAGCUGGAGAGGAUCUGCAAGGAGGAAUGGCAGAGGGUCCCCAAAUCCAGGUGUGAAAAACUGGUUGCAUCAUUCCCAAAUAGACUCAUGGCUGUAUUAGCUCAAAAGGGGGCUUCUACCAAAUACUGAGCAAAGGGUCUGAAUACUUAUGGCUUUGUGAUAGAGAUUUUUUUUCUUUUUUUAAUAAAUCUGCAAAAAAUCA